GGGACACGUGGUAUCCUGUCUGAAUAUGGGGGGACCAUCCUCCAAGGCUAAAUACUCCUGACUGACCGAUAGUGAACCAGUACCGUGAGGGAAAGGCGAAAAGAACCCCGGCGAGGGGAGUGAAAAAGAACCUGAAACCGUGUACGUACAAGCAGUGGGAGCACCUUCGGGUGUGACUGCGUACCUUUUGUAUAAUGGGUCAGCGACUUAUAUUCUGUAGCAAGGUUAACCGUAUAGGGGAGCCGCAGGGAAACCGAGUCUUAACUGGGCGUUAAGUUGCAGGGUAUAGACCCGAAACCCGGUGAUCUAGCCAUGGGCAGGUUGAAGGUUGGGUAACACUAACUGGAGGACCGAACCGACUAAUGUUGAAAAAUUAGCGGAUGACUUGUGGCUGGGGGUGAAAGGCCAAUCAAACCGGGAGAUAGCUGGUUCUCCCCGAAAGCUAUUUAGGUAGCGCCUCGUGAAUUCAU
rnacentral:rRNA from 1 species